UCGUAUAACUGGGGGUGCGAGGGCUGUCGCUGACCUUUCAAAGGGUCGUGCACGCCCGAGCAUUCUCACAAUCCAUCUCACCCUUUGUGCAUCACCGCGUGGGUCCCCUUUACGGGAGGGCUCACGUUUUCACAUAAAACUCGAUACAGUUUAGAAUGUCUAUUUUUGCGGUCACACGCGAUCUAAUA
rnacentral:misc_RNA from 1 species